UACGUAGGGACCAAGCGUUGUUCGGAUUUACUGGGCGUAAAGGGCGCGUAGGCGGCUUGUCAAGUCACUUGUGAAAUCUCUGGGCUUAACCCAGAACGGCCAAGUGAAACUGACAUGCUAGAGUGCAGAAGGGGCAAUCGGAAUUCCAGGUGUAGCGGUGAAAUGCGUAGAUAUCUGGAGGAACACCGGUGGCGAAGGCGGCAUCCUGGACCGGCAUUGACGCUGAGGCGCGAAAGCCAGGGGAGCAAACGGG
rnacentral:rRNA from 1 species